GGCCUCCCUACCUCUAAAGGCCUCCAGUCUGCAGUUCCAGCUCCAGAAAACGUGCCAAGAAGAGAGCUCAGGACCCUGGAGCGGAACACUGGAACACUGGAAGGGAGGGAGACUCCAGCUCAGACAACGGGGUGGGGGUGAAGGAACGGGUUAAGUUUUCUCUUUCUUAUUCUAAAGAAAUAAAGAUGAGAACCAGUAUGCUUGUCUUUCAACUUUAUUGGAAUUCGAGACUAGGGGGAGGGAUGGGGCGAGAGGCACUAUCUCACUUAAGACCCAUAAGUCCUUACACAUGGUUUCAAGGUAGAGGAACUGAGGGGAUAAGAAAAAAAAAAAAAAAA